rnacentral:rRNA from 1 species
CCUACGGGGGGCAGCAGUAGGGAAUAUUGGACAAUGGGCGAAAGCCUGAUCCAGCCAUGCCGCGUGAGUGACGAAGGUCUUCGGACUGUAAAGCUCUUUUCUGAGGGAAGAACAUCCGGGUGAGGAAAUGCACCCGGCUUGACGGUACCUCAGGAAUAAGGGACGGCUAACUCCGUGCCAGCAGCCGCGGUAAUACGGAGGUCCCAAGCGUUGUUCGGAAUUACUGGGCGUAAAGGGAGCGCAGGCGGACAGGUAAGUCUAAAGUGGAAGCCCGGGGCUCAACCUCGGAAGGUCUUUGGAUACUGCCUGUCUUGAGUUUGUCAGAGGAAAGCGGAAUUCAGGGUGUAGCGGUGAAAUGCUUAGAUAUCCUGAGGAACACCAAUGGCGAAAGCAGCUUUCUGGGGCAAAACUGACGCUGAGGCUCGAAAGCGUGGGUAGCAAACGGGAUUAGAUACCCCUGUAGUC